GACGAACGCUGGCGGCGUGCUUAACACAUGCAAGUCGAACGGAAAGGCCCUGCUUGUGUGGGGUGCUCGAGUGGCGAACGGGUGAGUAACACGUGAGUAACCUGCCCUUGACUGUGGGAUAACUUCAGGAAACUGGGGCUAAUACCGGAUAGGAGCUCCUGCUGCAUGGGGGGGGUUGGAAAGUUUCGGCGGUUGGGGAUGGACUCGCGGCUUAUUAGCUUGUUGGUGGGGUAGUGGCUUACCAAGGCUUUGACGGGUAGCCGGCCUGAGAGGGUGACCGGCCACAUUGGGACUGCGAUACGGCCCAGACUCCUACGGGAGGCAGCAGUGGGGAAUAUUGCACAAUGGGCGGAAGCCUGAGGCAGCAACGCCGCGUGCGGGAUGACGGCCUUCGGGUUGUAAACCGCUUUCGCCUGUGACGAAGCGUGAGUGACGGUAAUGGGUAAAGAAGCACCGGCUAACUACGUG
rnacentral:rRNA from 1 species